rnacentral:rRNA from 1 species
UACGUAGGGUCCAAGCGUUAUCCGGAAUCACUGGGCGUAAAGCGUGCGUAGGUGGCGCGUUAAGUGAGAUGUUAAAUCGUGUGGCUCAACCAUAUCGAUGCAUCUCAUACUGGCGUGCUAGAGGACAGCAGAGGCAAGUGGAAUUGGUAGUGUAGCAGUGAAAUGCGUAGAUAUUCGGAAGAACACCAGUGGCGAAGGCGACUUACUGGACGAUUGUUGACGCUGAGGUGCGAAAGCGUGGGGAGCAAACAGG